rnacentral:rRNA from 1 species
UACGUAGGGUGCGAGCGUUGUCCGGAAUUAUUGGGCGUAAAGAGCUUGUAGGCGGUUUGUCGCGUCUGCCGUGAAAAUCCGGGGCUCAACCCCGGACUUGCGGUGGGUACGGGCAGACUAGAGUGUGGUAGGGGAGACUGGAAUUCCUGGUGUAGCGGUGAAAUGCGCAGAUAUCAGGAGGAACACCGAUGGCGAAGGCGGCAUCCUGGACCGGCAUUGACGCUGAGGCGCGAAAGCCAGGGGAGCAAACGGG